rnacentral:lncRNA from 1 species
UUUGUGGUGUCAUGUUUCCUUGAUUUUUCAUGUUCCUUGAAGUCUUGUGUUGUUGUCUUCACAUUUGAAGAAGAUUUACCUCCUGCAUUCUCUACUGACUGUCUUAAGGAGAGAAAUACCUUCUGUCAGCCCUGCUAAGUAUUCUGAAGCUCUUUCACAUGUGUUCUAUGGAUAUACGUGCUCCACACUUUUUGCUCCCUCUUGGGGGGAAUUCUUAAAAUGGUAUUCUUUCUCUUGAUCCUGCAAAGCCCAGCCAAGUGCUGACAGCCUCCUAUUUGCCUUUCCUAGGGCAGUGCUGAAUGCUCAAGUUUUUGUGCUUUCUCCCAAUCCUACAGAGUUAGGCCAGCUUUCUGUGCAUGUUCGCUAGCUGUCUGCAAAGACUGUACUCACUCCCUUUCGGGCAUGAACAAGGAGCCAUCCACGUGGUGGGUGUGUGUGUGGGUGAACUGCACAGAAUAUGGGGAGUGCCUGUGGGCCAGUUGGUGGGAUCUGCAGAUGAAGUGUCCCCAGUGGCUCAUGGCUGGACUCCUGAUGAAGUCCACAUAGUAGUUAGUAACAGCAUCCCUUUCUGCCCUCCAAGAGCCCUGUUCUCUUUGCCCCUCCCCAUUCAUCAGUCAUGUAGCACAUCUCAGUAUUCUGGAUGGGGCAUGAAGGAAGUGGGUCUCUUUGGCAGCAUCCUGCACGGCUGGGGAAGUCAGGCACUCACUCAUGUGCUCUCACUUUCCCCGUGGAGAAAUCACCAGUGUAGAAAGUCUCUAUUAGCACUGACCUGUGCUACCCUGGGGGGAGGGGUGACUUGGGUAAAGUAAAACUGUUCCUCUUACCCUCUUCAACAUGUCCAAUCUCGGAUUUGUUUUUUCUCCAACAGUGUGUUGGAACUUCGUUGGACUCCUGGACUUCCACUAAGGAACUCUUAUUUCAAAGGCUACUGCACAUCUGUGUGACUCUUCAGGGAAGCCAUCCUCCUUCUGAUGGCUCAGCAAGACGCCUCCUGAUGGAAACAGGCUUCCGUGGUGCUGAGAAUCCCAGCAUGGAAGCAAGGGGACAAUGGCAAGGCGCACAGUUAACACUCACUUAUAGCCAGACUCUGCAGCAUCUGGGCAUGGCUGUGUGACAUUUAUUGUCAAGCAGGCAGUAAGUAGAGGAUGUCUGGGAAGGAUUUUUGUUCAUACAGGCUCCACUCAUUCUGGAUUCACCCUUUUUCCCUACCUGGAAUGCAGAUGUGGCAUCUUGAGUACAGCUUGCACCCACGAAGAUGAAAAUCAUAUGCUAAAGAUGUCAGAAGAGGGAGAGAGAAAGAGCUGGGGUCCUCAAUGGCAUCGCUAAGCCAUAGUACCAGCCCUGCCUGCUCAACCCUGGAUUUCCUGUCGUAGAGGAGAACCCUGUGGUUCCCAAACUCCAGCGGGCAGGUGAAUCACCC